rnacentral:lncRNA from 1 species
GCCCCGAGCGCCCCCGCCCCGCGCGUGCGUCCACGUGCCUGCAUCGCGGGCAUCUGCGCGAUCGCCCGCGCGCCUGUAGACCUCGCGUCCUUCCGGUCCCGUCCCUCCUGCACGCUCCCUUCCCUCCUCCGCUGCCCCACCCGCGGGUCUCUUGCCCGCAGGUGGCCGGGUCCCCGCACCCGUCGCAGACUCCCGCCCGGCCCCUCCGCCGCCCGCCGGGCGCCUUCCGUCUGCUCCCGUGCCGCUGAGUCGCCUCGCGCAUCUGGGGCUCCGAGCUGCGCUGAGAAGCGGCGGGUCUUCCCACCUCGGCCCUCGGCCCACGAGAGGCUGUCAUCACCCCUGGAGCAGCGCGUCCCUGUUGCCCGCAUCCUCCCCAGCAUUUGGCGACGUCUGUGCUCUGGACUGCAGCCCUUCUAGAAGAUCAUCAUCUGAGGAGAGUGAGCAGGAGAAAUUCAGGCUCAGUCAAGAAAUAAAUAAACAACACAAAGAAUGACAAAAGUAAACACAACUUUAACGAAGAGAAAUUUAAAGUAAAUACCACACACUGAUACUGAUUUACACGGUACCAAAAAUUGGAAAACAGAGACUAAACAGACUGUUAUCCAGAAAAACACCUUAACCAAAAUUGUCUCAGGAAAAUCUGUUUUAUGGAGCAAACCGUAAUUUGAAAAGAUACAUGUAUCCCAUUGUUCACUGCAGCACUAUUCCCAAAAGCCAAGACAUGGGAGGAACCUAAGUAUUCAUUAGCAAAGGACUGGAGAAGGAAGAUGUGGAGAAGAGGCCACCACUCAGCCACAGAAAAGCAUGAAGAAGUGCCACUGGCAGCAGCGUGGAUGGCUCUGGAGGUUAUCAUGCCAACCAAAGUAGUCAGAGAAAGACAAAUAUCAUAUAGUAUCACUUACACGUAGAAUCUAAAAAAAGAUACAAAUGAAAUUGUUUACAAAACAGAAGUGAACUCACAGACAUGGAGAGUAAACUUACGGUUACCAAUGGGAAAAGAGAGAGAAGGAAUAAAUUGAGAAUUUGGGAUUCACACACACACACACACACACACUACUGUACAUAAAAUAGAUAAACACGGUCCUACUGUAUAGCCCAGGGAACUAUACUCAGUAUCGUGUAUGAACCUAUAAUAGAAAAGACCCUGAAUCUCUUUGCUGUGCUUCUGAAAGUAACACAACAUUGUAAAUCAACUACACUGCAAUUAAAAAAGAAAAUUUUUCUUUUAAAAAACUUAAACCAAUAACAUUUAAAGGAAACACGUUUAUUCUGUCCUUCAAAUGACAAGAGUUGACUUUUUUUUAACACACAACUUCUAACAAAUCAUCAUGACAAACUAUUCCAAGAACAUAGCAAAAUAAAAUUAUGCAACUUAUUUUAUGAGGCAAAUAUAGAUUUCCUCAUAAAACACUAAAUCUACACAAGGAAAAUAAAAAUCUAGAACAAUUUUACCCUUGAACAUAUUUUUUAAGAAAUCCCACCAAAAAAUAGUGACUACAGCAGUAUUUAAAGAAAAUAGAGCAUGAACAGGUGGGAUUUAUCACAGGAAUGCAAUAUUGUCUAUUACUGCAAUUGCUCAUAUUAAUAAGGUAAAUGAAAGAAACAGCAUUAUAUAUGGCACCACAAAUGCAGAAAAAGCAGUCAAAAUCCUUGUGGACACUGAUGACAAUAAUUUUUAUUAGCAAACUAGAUAGGAGGUUUUUUUUUUUUUAACUGUAAAAAUAUCUGUUGAGAUGGGAUUAAGAUUGCAGAACAGAAGACUGGAGCUCAGCUUCUCUCAUAAAAACAACAAAAUUACAACCAAAUGCUGAACAACCUUCAACCAGAUACACUGGAGACUUUCAAAACAGAUAUCCUACUCUAGAAGACAAAGAGGAGGUCACGUCAAGGUGGCAGGAGGGGUGGUUACGUGAUAUAAGCAACCCCAUCCAUAACCGCCGGGUGGGCAGCCCACAGACUGGAGAGUAACUAUGACAGAGACUCACCUACAGGAGUGAGAGUUCUGAGCCCCACAUCAGGCCCCAAUGCCUGGGGACCUGGCACUGGGAGAAAGAGCCCACCAGAGCUUCUGGCAUCGAUGGCCAGUGGGGCUUGUGCGCAGGAGAUCCAGGGGACUGAGGGAAACGGAGACCCCAUUUUUGAAAGGAGCACACAGACCUUCAUGUACACUGGGUCCCAGGGCAAAGCAGAGACUCCCUAGGAAUCUGGGUUGGACCUGACUGCAGUUCUUGGAGAAUCUCCUGGGAAAACAGGGGUGAAUGUGGCUCAUUGUGGGGGAAGGACAUUGGAAGCAAAGCUCUUGGGAAUCUUUAGCAGCAUGCCUUUCUCUGGAGGUGGCCUGUUUUUUGGGAAAAUCUGGCCCCACCCAUUGGUGCUGAGAAGCCCCAGGCCAAACAACAAUCCAGGUGGGAUCACAGCCCUGCCCAUCAGUAAACAGGCUGCCUAAAGACCCCCCAGGCACACAGCCAACCUUUAUUCUCACCCAGAGACAAAGCCCCACCCACCAGAGGGAUAGGAAUCAGCCCCACCUACCAAUGGGUAGGCACCAGUCCCUCCCAUCUGGAAGCCUACAGCAAGCCCCCAUACCAACUUCAGCCACAAGGGGGGCAGACACCAGAAGAAAGAGAGAGUACAACUCUAUAGUCUGCAAAAAGGAGAACACACCAAAAACCUAUAAAAAUGAAAAGGCCAAGAGCUAUAACUCAGGUAAGGGAGAAAGAAAACCCAGAAAAACAGCUAGGUGAUCUGGAGAUUCUCAGCCUCAAGGAAAAAGACUUUAGACUGAUGAUGCUGAAGAUGAUGUAAGACACUGGAAAUAAACUGGAGGCAAAGAUGGGUAACUUACAGGAAACACUGAGCAAAGAGAUAGAAGAUACAAAACUUAAGUAAGGAGAGAUGCAAAAUACAGUAACUGAAAUAAAAAAUUCAUUAGAAGCAGCCAACAGCAGAAUAUAGGAGGCAGAAUGAAUAAGUGAGGUGGAGGACAGACUAGUGGAAAUCACGGAUGCAGAACAGAAAAGAAAAAAA